UAGGGAAUCUUCGGCAAUGGACGAAAGUCUGACCGAGCAACGCCGCGUGAGUGAAGAAGGUUUUCGGAUCGUAAAACUCUGUUGUUAGAGAAGAACAAGGACGUUAGUAACUGAACGUCCCCUGACGGUAUCUAACCAGAAAGCCACGGCUAACUACGUGCCAGCAGCCGCGGUAAUACGUAGGUGGCAAGCGUUGUCCGGAUUUAUUGGGCGUAAAGCGAGCGCAGGCGGUUUCUUAAGUCUGAUGUGAAAGCCCCCGGCUCAACCGGGGAGGGUCAUUGGAAACUGGGAGACUUGAGUGCAGAAGAGGAGGGUGGAAUUCCAUGUGUAGCGGUGAAAGGCGUAGAUAUAUGGAGGAACACCAGUGGCGAAGGCGGCUCUCUGGUCUGUAACUGACGCUGAGGCUAGAAAGCGUGGGGAGCAAACAGG
rnacentral:rRNA from 1 species